CCUCUGACAAUCCUAGAGAUAGGACGUCCCCUUCGGGGGCAGAGUGACAGGUGGUGCAUGGUUGUCGUCAGCUCGUGUCGUGAGAUGUUGGGUUAAGUCCCGCAACGAGCGCAACCCUUGAUCUUAGUUGCCAGCAUUCAGUUGGGCACUCUAAGGUGACUGCCGGUGACAAACCGGAGGAAGGUGAGGAUGACGUCAAAUCAUCAUGCCCCUUAUGACCUGGGCUACACACGUGCUACAAUGGACAGAACAAAGGGCAGCGAAACCGCGAGGUUAAGCCAAUCCCACAAAUCUGUUCUCAGUUCGGAUCGCAGUCUGCAACUCGACUGCGUGAAGCUGGAAUCGCUAGUAAUCGCGGAUCAGCAUGCCGCGG
rnacentral:rRNA from 1 species